GUUCUUAUAGCUGAAACACAACGGUAUUUUCAGACUACUAGUCUGGGUUGGAGUCCCAGUAAGAAUA
rnacentral:tRNA from 1 species